ACUAGCAGGUGGACUUUAAUGUCCAAGUGUGUUGUUUUCCCUUCUCUGUACAGACUCGACCUGUGUAUGAAAUGUGCUUUCUAAUCAAACUGCUUUGCCUGACAUGAUGCUGAGAAAUCAGACCAACAUAAAGGUCAGGGCUGAUGUGGACCUGGAAACUCCUCAGUAACUGUUGCCCUCCCUCUCAGCUUCCACCUGGAACACUGUGGAGUUCUGCCCUGGUUCCUGCAGAAGACCAGCUUUAAAGGACGCACCUUCAUGACUCACGCCACCAAGGCCAUCUACCGCUGGCUGCUGUCCGACUACGUCAAAGUCAGCAGAAACAGGCUUGAGUCUUCUCAAGACCCGCUCUUAUCUGGGGCCUAUGACGUGUUCGGCUUCUGACAGUGGAAUUUACCAAAAACAACCAAGUGUCCAGAUCUGCUUUUCUUCCUAUUGUUGCAGUGGAAGAAUGCUUGGACUAUUUUGAACACUUAUGCACAUAUGCCUUUCCUUGCCUGCUUUCUGCCAUCAUUCUCACCCUGUAGGAGGUUUAAUGAGUUUCUUUAAAGACUGCCCAUUCAAGGAAACCUUACUUACCUCUCCCUCUAUAUAAUAAACUGUUUUGUUGAAUGCA